AAAAAGGAUCUCUCUCCCUCUGGAAGAGGGACGCAGUACUCACGCGCAGAUUCUUCAGGAGGUGUUCCAGAAGAGGUCAUUGUUAUCAUAGGAGAUGACAGCUCCAUGCAUGUUACUGCCCUUGAAAACUUUCCAGUGGGACAAGAUGUGGAGACGGUAAACAGAGACAUUGAUGAUUCUGAUUCUGAAAACCUACUGAUGGAGCGAAGAUUGCAGGCUGGAUCAUUUCAAAGUGCCUUGGUCAAAGGACUUGCCCAGGAGGCAACUUAAAGCCACUGAACUUUUGGUGAUGAGCACCAGCCAUAAAUCAAAGAAGUAGAUCCCCAGGCAAGUAAAAUAUAGAAAGAAUCAGAGGCCAAGCCAGGCAAAGACCUAGAAGAUCAGUCACAACAAUUCAGAUGAGAAAUGAUGCAGCUGACGGAAGAGAGAGGCUGUGGGAGCCAACAGGCAGGUAUGAA
rnacentral:lncRNA from 10 species